CUUGACACUGAACACUGGUCCUUGAUGUGUAGGAUAGGUGGGAGGCUUUGAAGCGUGGACGCCAGUCUGCGUGGAGCCAACCUUGAAAUACCACCCUUUAAUGGCUGGUGUUCUAACGUAGACCCGUAAUCCGGGUUGCGGACAGUGUCUGGUGGGUAGUUUGACUGGGGCGGUCUCCUCCUAAAGAGUAACGGAGGAGCACGAAGGUUAGCUAAUCCUGGUCGGACAUCAGGAGGUUAGUGCAAUGGCAUAAGC
rnacentral:rRNA from 1 species